rnacentral:lncRNA from 1 species
UGUGGGUGCUGCUUAAUGCCAUGUAGAUGCCCUGUGGGUGCUUGGUGCCGUGUCGAUGCCAUGUGGGUGCUGUUUGGUGCCCUGUGGGUGCUGCUCAUUGUCAUGUAGAUGCCGUGUGGGUGCUGUUUGGUGCCGUGUAGAUGCCGUGUGGGUGCUUGGUGCCAUGUAGAUGCCAUGAAGUGCUGUUUGGUGCCACGUGGGUGCUGCUCGGUGCCCUGUAGAUGCCAUGUGGGUGCUGUUUGGUGCCACACAGAUGCUGUAUGGGUGCCAUGUAGAUGCCAUGUGGGUACCAUGUGGGUGCUUGAUGCCAUGUAGAUGCCAUGAAGUGCUGUUUGGUGUCAUGUGGGUGCCAUGGGGGUGCUGUUUGGUGCCGUGUAGAUGCCAUGUGGGUGCUUGGUGCCGUGUGGGUGCCAUGUGGGUGCCGCUUAAUGCCAUGUGGUGCUUUUUGGUGCCAUGUGGGUGCUGUGUGGCACUGUAAUGCCAUGUAGAUGCCAUGUGGGUGCUGUUUGGUGCCCUGUGGGUGCUGCUCAUUGCCAUGUAGGUGCCCUGUGGGUGCUGUUUGGUGCCACGUAGAUGCUGUAUGGUGCCAUGUGGGUGCCAUGUGGGUGCUGCUCGGUGCCACGCAGAUGCCGUGUGGUGCUUUUGGGUGCCGUGCGGGUGCUAUGCAAUGCCAUGCAGAUGCCAUGGGGUGCCAUAUAGGUGCCAUAUGGGUGCCAUGCAGUGCCGUGCGGGUGCUGCUUGGUGCAGCCGUGCACAGGGGCCCUGCGGUGCACGCGUGCUGCCACCAAGGUCACCUCCUGGUCACACCAGCGCCACGCCAGCAGGACACGCUGCGUCCCGCCGGUCGGCGCCCCAUCACUGCACCGUGCCGCACGGGGCCGGGGUGCCCCCGACGGGUGCCAGCGCGGCACCCAGUGCACCCACGCGCCUGCGGAUGCGCAGUGUUUCGGGGUGCGGCGCCUGUGUGCGUGCGCAGGCGUGUGCACGUGUGUGCAAUAGGGAAUUGGGGGGCACCCUGAUUUUGGGGGUGCAAGGAGGGGGCUAUGCCCUGAUUUGGGGGGGCAGGUCGGGGGUGCACC